UGGCCUCAAAUUAUCCACCUGCCUCGGUCUCCCUAAGUGUUGGGAUUAGAGGAGUGAGCCACUGUGCCCGGCCCUGCUUUGUACAUGAACUAGAAGAGCAGUCCCUCUGAAAGACACCUAAGUCAUAGUCACAACUGUAGGGAAUUUUCAACACGAAACUUUCCAUAGAAGGCAAUUUGGAAAGCUAGCUUGGCAGGUGUAUUGUCAAAAAUUAUUGAACCGCCAAAUGGAGAUGGUUACCAGCACGUUACAUAAGACUCAGUGUACAAUGUAUGGCUUCAUAUUGGUCCAUACUUCUAUCAGUCAGGAGAAGGAUGAAAUCUCAAGUAUGGAUGUGACACUUUAUACCUGCCAUGGGUAGAAUGUUCAAUCCGUAUGAACUUACUUGAUGUAGAAUUAAAGGAAAAGUUACCAAGAAUGAGAUCUGAGAGCUUAGCAAGUCCUCCUAAGCUAUGGCCAUGAUAACUCAUCAUACAAGGAAAAUAAGUGAAUUCAAAGAACUAAAAGCAGCUGCCAUUAGAUUACAGGGAACUUUCAAACAAAAGAUACAUCAUAGGAAGUCAGGUGAGAAGCUGUCAACCGGGCAGGCAGUGAUAAGAAUCGUAGUUGUCUUAUUGUACUGUUUUGUUUUGUUCAAAAAACCUAAAGCAUCAUGCAUUUUGAAAUCAGAGUUUGCAGAGAACCCCCAACAGAGCCAGGACGUGCCAAGAGCGACUGAUAUUUCCAGAAUCUGAAUCUGGCUCUUGAAGUAGUAAGGCCGGAGGAGACAUGAACAUCAAGAGAAAGUGUAUUCAGCUCCAUUCCUAUGUGAAUGUAGCUUCAGAGCAAGUCACCUUCAACGAGGAGCAGCACAUCCUGUAAACAAAUACCGUGCCCCUUGGCCGCUUCUAAGAUGCUAAUGAUCCUGGGAGUUUUAGCAGCCUGCUGCUGCAGCGUUUGAACCAUUCCAGUAAGCAGCAACUUUGCAGGGACAAGGACAGAGCGUGCAAAGCACGGAGGGAAAGUAGGAGUGUUUGUACCAUGAGUCUCUGCACACCCCUCAUCUUGGCUAUAGUAGACUGGACCACAGAUGGACACUGUACCGUGCAGAUUACUUCUUCCAGGAACUUGGACUGAGACCAAGAGACUCACGGCAUCCUCUUCUGGCUCUUGGAUCUCUUUGGCAGAAACUCUUCUAUUCCCCUCGGCUCGUGCAACAACAUAUGCCAGUUAUGGUGUUUCCUCUGUAUUUCCUGGUUGUCAGAAGCAAUGUUGGUAGACUACAUCUUCAAGCAUCAGUGUUGUGUUAAGGGAAGGGUUGUUGACGGCAAAAAAUAAGCUCCCUCUGCCGGUUGAUGGCUCCCUCUGCAGAAACGAGUAUCUGAAUGUCCAUUUCGAGACCACAUUCUUUCUUCUUCCUACCCAGACACAAAAGCCUUUGUUAUUGGAGGUAAAGACUGUCUAUGAACCUGAGACCUGGAAGAGCCCAACAGAGAAUGCUGGAGUGGAUUUAUCUGAGGAUACUCCCUGAGGUUUUACAUGCAAACCCUGAGAUUCUGGACAGUGUUAAAUGAUAAGGCUUAUCACUCUGAAAGGGACAGAUGGCAGACCUACCCUGAAAUAGCUUUUCUGGAAGAGUAACACAUGGUAAAUUGCAUUAAUUGCAAUAAUUGCUUUUUAUGCCUUGAUAAAAACUGCCAAAGACCUUCAAAGAUCUUCUAAUCAUGGCAAAUGAGCACAGUUCCCCCUUAGCAGUGACAGAGCUACAGCACUACAGCUUGGGGUUCUGCAGAGAGGCUGCAGAAUUAAGACCAUAGGAACCUGCAGACUUUGGAAAGAGAUGGGCAGGUGAGGCCCUGGGUAUAGCACAAGCUGGAGGAGUAUCUAGUCCCAUUUUGGGGCCAAGUUAUGGGUAUUUCUUGUAUAACAUAUAUUUAGUUAAUUCACUAGUUAUGGGGGAAGGCUGGGGUGGGUGGAUCACGAGGUCAAGAGAUCGAGACCAUCCUGGCCAACAUGGUGAA